CGUUGUCCGGAUUAUUGGGCGUAAAGAGCUCGUAGGCGGCUGGUCGCGUCUGUCGUGAAAACUUCCGGCUCAACCGGGGGCUUGCGGUGGGUACGGGCCGGCUAGAGUGCGGUAGGGGUAACUGGAACUCCUGGUGUAGCGGUGGAAUGCGCAGAUAUCAGGAAGAACACCGAUGGCGAAGGCAGGUUACUGGGCCGUUACUGACGCUGAGGAGCGAAAGCGUGGGGAGCGAACAGGAUUAGAUACCCUGGUAGUCCAUGCCGUAAACGUUGGGCACUAGGUGUGGGGGACAUUCCACGUUUUCCGCGCCGUAGCUAACGCAUUAAGUGCCCCGCCUGGGGAGUACGGCCGCAAGGCUAAAACUCAAAGAAAUUGACGGGGGCCCGCACAAGCGGCGGAGCAUGCGGAUUAAUUCGAUGCAACGCGAAGAACCUUACCAAGGCUUGACAUAUACUGGACUGCGUCAGAGAUGGCGUUUCCCUUCGGGGCUGGUAUACAGGUGGUGCAUGGUUGUCGUCAGCUCGUGUCGUGA
rnacentral:rRNA from 1 species